CAAAACCCUAGCCACUAGUAGUAGCAACCAGACCUUUUCUUUUUUCAUUCCCCUCUUCUCUCUCUCGUCCCUGCGCCUCCAGACUCCCUCCUUGUCCAUGCCUCCAAUUUCUCCAUUCUUCUUCAUUCUUCUCUCUCCGUUUCUCGAUCUUCUCACUCCAGGCGGCAACACCACCACCACAACCAGUUGCAGCAACUGCAACAGCACCACCUCCACCAGCUGUGGUGGUCUUGCCGCCCAACACAGCCAACAACUAUGCAGCGACCACCUUCAUCUAUGCUUGAGAGGGCUCCGGAUCUGCGGAGUGUGGAGAGAAAGGGUAAAUUUGUAGCCGAAUGCGGAAAAAAAUCUGCUUCAAGCUCCAGAUAUUAAAAAAAA